CUGCUGGCAAGUCAGUUCAGAUUCCAAAAAAGCAGAUAGUAUUUAGUCUGAACACUCAAAAUUCACUGCAAAACUUCAGCCGGUAACUGGGACUGACCAGAAGCUGAAGGGACAAUAGUGACAACUGUAUUUUUUUAGCUUUCCAAAGCAAAAGGCUGUUAGUAGCUGGUGCUACUCCUUUUCACAGCUGCUGUACAACCCCUGGAUUCAUCCCACAAGCUGACCUUAGCAGCCAUUGUGUUGCCAGGGACAAUGCAGAUUUGUUCCAUCUGAGAACACCCUAUAGCUGUGUUAGAGUAUGGGCUGAGAUGAGACAGUGCAACAAACCAACUCCCUCUGAAAACAGGAUCUACUGUCCUAACUGCAGGGCUCCCUCUUCAACCCUGGGCCUGUACCAGCCACAAAUGGCUUCACAAACAUACUUAAAAAGGAAAAAAAACCUCAAACCCCGGGCAGCUUUUGUUUUGAGGUAGCUGCAACCACUCUGUGCAGAACAGCAACAGUAUGACUGCUAAGAGCACUGGAACAAGGAGAAAUUCCAGACUCUAAAUACAUGUCCUCAAGCGACAUUUUAACCUCGUGUCUGCUGCCUUGUCCAGAAGAAGAGCUGGAUGGAAGAGUUACCCAGCUCUGGACUGGCACAUGGGGGCUGGUUCAGUGAGCAGCACAUACUGCAGGCACUUGUGGGAUCAUGACCAUCAGCCAGCUGGUGACAUUUCACUGCAGGGACAGACCCUUAACUGCAACAAGGCAGCAGCAAGCAGGCAAGCCACCUAAUUACCAGCUGGGAAAAUGAUGCCAGGACAGCACAUUCAGGAAAGAAGAGACAGAACCAGUUUCUCUGAGGCAAUCAGCACGACUGAGCUGUCCCCCAGCACGUCCAUGCAGCUGCUGCAGACACAGAACAUGCUGGGGGCUGAGCCCAUUACCCCGUGGCACUUCUGGCAGUGUCCCACUGGCUGUCACACAGCCUGCUGCAGGCACCUGAGGCAGGGACUGCAUUCACUGCCUUGUCAGCAGGCUCUGCAGGAACACAGCAGCUCUUGUUCAGAGCCUCGCUCUUGCCUGAAGUGCAAAGCUCUGCACGAGUCCUGGGAGAGAGAGCACAAUGCCCUCCCUCCACCACACAGCCCAAGAGGGAGCCUUCUGUUCAGCAAGCUUCCAACUGCAGGAACCAGACCCAGCUGCCUCCACCAAGAGCUCCCAACAUUUUGCUUCCAUUGCCAAGUAGCCAAACUGAAAUUUAAUCUAAAUUGGGGAAGGCUGAAGAAUAAGCCAAAGCUUUCUCAAGGAAAUCCCCACAAACAGAACAGCCAUUUCAGGAGUGAGAGACAUGACAGACACCUGAUAAACUAAAACACAACUUUGACACAAUGAAAUUCAACUCCUCUUUUGUUAGGAAGUGAAUACUGUUAGCACCAGUGUUUUUCUUGAAUACUUAAAACAUUUUACCUAAGAAGAGUCUUUGUUUUCCUCAACUCUAAGAUAGCAAAGACCUUAAACUAAUGACUUAGUUUGCCUCAAGACAAGUUUGAAGGGCUAAAUUUGAGUUUAUGUCUUGAGAAUUUCAGACUGUUGGUUUUCCCUCCUGUGAUUAGAGCCCAAGAACUCUCCGUAGUGGUGCCUGGGCAUGCAUUAUCUCCAGAGACAUUCCAAGAUACAGUUCUUGACUUGUUUUGUCUGGGAACCACUCACAAACAUUGUACACAUCAGGGUGAACUAUCCACAGCUACUCAAGUGGAAACUUUUGCUUCUUGGAAAAGCAUCAUCAAUUUUUUCCAGAAUCUGACACCAAGAAUGUAUUAAAGCACGCCUUGUUUAAUUGCAAGGGCAGAUGUGAGAACACUGUGCUCCCGUGUUUGCUGGUCACAUUACUGGCAUGUAUUUGGUUCUUAUUUCUGCAGCAAACCCUGUUUCCCCCAUGCCUGCCUUACCCUCCCUCCUAUCUACCUCUGAAAUUCCCUGCCACUGCCAGAGCUGCCUGUGGAGCCAUGUGGCAUUUCCCUCUGACUCACUAAUGUGUCAUAGUACAUCUCUGCAAUAAAUACUUCUUCAAUUAAACCUAUUUCCACCCAAUGGAACCCUUCAGGAACAGAGCUGUUCCCUGCACUGCCACACAAUGGAAUGUCCUGGGCCACCACCAGCAACCUGAGGGGAAAACUAAGCCAAGGCAGAUGUGGGAGCACUUGGCAGAAAGGGAGAGCAACAGGCCUGGCUGAAAGAAAGUUUUGCCGAAUGAGGCCUCUGGAAAGGUGUCACCUAAGGCCAACAAGCCAACUGAAAAUGUAGGCAGUCAAAACCAUAAAGAUAUUAAAUACUGCUUGGCUUUCAAUCUGUUAUCUGAGCACUCAAGAAAACACAUCUGAUGUUAACAUCCCCACUGAACUGAGCAGGAAUGGCAGCAAUGCAAGGAGGACAUGCAAGGAGCAGCUACUUUAACUUCAUCCCAGGGACCAGCAGCAGAGUGGGAACACCAGUGACUUCAGGAGUCUGGAAAAGCCCAGAUUCCCUGCUUAUCUGCAGCUGGACAGAGAGACACCUCCGUUUACAGAGUACAGCCUGUACAUCUGAAAGGCCAAGGUUUCAACUCGGAUCUGAAGCCUGACAGGAAACAGAACUAACAGCUUUUACUACUGUUGUAUAAGAGGCCAUUAUUUGCACACCAUAAACCAGCAAGAAGUACAGAGUCAUCUGCGUAUCACUUGUAGAAAUCUCUUGCCAGCUAGGCUCAAGUUUUUAUUUUGCAUUAUUUGGUCUCUUUUGGCAGGGAGAAGGUGUGCAGGAAAGAAGUGAAACUCUCUUCAGCUUUUAUUUCCCCACCCCCAAGAAGAAAUGUUAUUGACAAGACAAGAAAAGAGGAGUAGGAAAGCAAUUAUUAAAAAAACCCCCCAAACAAUCAAGAAAAAAAACCCCAAAAAACUAUCCUUUGAAUUCCUGAAGGUCAUUUCUUCAGCUUUUAGCCAAAGAGGAAAUUAUCUCCUUCUCUGAGCCACUAUGAAGUUCACUCCCAAAUUAUCAAGGUAGGCAGAACAAGCAAUACCCACAAAAGGCAAUCCCAGCAACAGUACUGAAAAACAGGAACUGCAGUGGCCAGUAGCAGCAGGGCAGAAGUUUUGAGCAGCACCCAUUCCUGUGUUGAAAUAGAAGUUUUUAAGGUAAUGCAGGUGAAAGCUGGUGUGUAACAGGACUCUUGCAGAAAAUCAAAGCUUCUCAGAAACACAUUCAGCACACAAAUCAGCUGUUAUGAGCCUAAAUGCCUGUAAGAAUUUUCUUGUGGCCCUCCAGGCACCUACAGCAACCUAAAGCUCACAUGCCACCCUCAAAAUCAGGCUCUGAAGGCCAGCUCCGGGCAUCCCUGAUAUUUUUUACUGAGGGAUCCUCCUCUCCCGAGGAGACUGCAGUGAAUGCUGAACAACCAGGUGAGGCAAAGGCCCAGAACAGCUUCACAGGCAAGUCCUGGUUGCAGUCAGGCUCUCUCACUCGGGAUUGCUUAGGUCAGCCCUUGCACCCAGCAGGAGCCUCUUGAUAGAGAUUCUGCCAAGGCGAGUAGGAACACGCCAGACAUCACCAGCACCAAUUGUCAUCAGGCUGUUAUCUUGUAUAUGAGGCAUCUGUACCUUGUAAUUACACAGAUCUGGGAAUAGCACUGACUAACAACCACGAAAAAUCAUUUGCACGGUACUCCAAAGACCUUGGACUCAUUUAAUCCAGCAGAAAAGAAACUGAACAUUGUGGCCAGACACAAAAGCUGAAAAUCCAAGCUCUUUUGAUAGCAAGGAUGCCCUCCUGCUGGCACUACCAUACUUUGCCAGAAGGCUUCCACUCUGCCCAAACCCAGUUCAUUUGCAGCCUCUCAAAAAAGCCAACCUAAA